rnacentral:misc_RNA from 1 species
GAUGAAGAACGUAGCGAAAUGCGAUAAGUAAUGUGAAUUGCAGAAUUCAGUGAAUCAUCGAAUCUUUGAACGCACAUUGCGCCCCUUGGUAUUCCGAGGGGCAUGCCUGUUCGAGCGUCAUUAUAACCCCUCAAGCACAGCUUGGUCUUGGGCUUCGCCGCUAACCCGGCGGGUCUUAAAAUCAGUGGCGGUGCCGUCGGGCCCUGAGCGCAGUAAUCUCUCUCGCUAUAGGGUCCCGGCGGAUGCUGGCCAGUAACCCCCAAUUUUCUAUGGUUGACCUCGGAUCAGGUAGGGAUACCCGCUGAACUUAAGCAUAUCAAUAAGCGGAGGA